rnacentral:misc_RNA from 1 species
AUGAUUGCGAAUGGUUACCUUUGGUGCUGGCUCUCGCGAGCAAGUGCACAUUGGUGGCUUUCAUCCACUACUACCCUUGUGAACCUUUGGCCUCUUGCUCGCUUCGGCUGGCAGAGGAUUUUUACACCCACACUCGAAUGUAAUGAAAAAACCCUUUGGUGCGCAAGCACUUAUGUA